UGGGGAAUUUUGGACAAUGGGCGAAAGCCUGAUCCAGCAAUGCCGCGUGUGUGAAGAAGGCCUUCGGGUUGUAAAGCACUUUUGUCCGGAAAGAAAUCCUUGGCUCUAAUACAGUCGGGGGAUGACGGUACCGGAAGAAUAAGCACCGGCUAACUACGUGCCAGCAGCCGCGGUAAUACGUAGGGUGCAAGCGUUAAUCGGAAUUACUGGGCGUAAAGCGUGCGCAGGCGGUUUGCUAAGACCGAUGUGAAAUCCCCGGGCUCAACCUGGGAACUGCAUUGGUGACUGGCAGGCUAGAGUAUGGCAGAGGGGGGUAGAAUUCCACGUGUAGCAGUGAAAUGCGUAGAGAUGUGGAGGAAUACCGAUGGCGAAGGCAGCCCCCUGGGCCAAUACUGACGCUCAUGCACGAAAGCGUGGGGGAGCAAAACAGGAUUAGAUACCCUGGUAGUCCACGCCCUAAAACGAUGUCAACUAGUUGUUGGGGAUUCAUUUCCUUAGUAACGUAGCUAACGCGUGAAGUUGACCGCCUGGGGAGUACGGUCGCAAGAUUAAAACUCAAAUGAAUUGACGGGGUCAUAGCUGUUU
rnacentral:rRNA from 1 species